rnacentral:misc_RNA from 1 species
UAUGGAACCACCGUUUGUGUGCUCCGUGCAUUACGUCGAAGGCAAAUACGCCCUCUAAUCAAUCCGUAACUUGCUCGGGUUGGUGGGGCUUGACAAGACAAUCAAG